GGUUAUCUCUGCUCCUCUCCACAAAAAGCCACUUCCCUGAGCCAUUUGGCAGGAGGCUUUUUGUUCCAAAGAUGCCCUUAAGGUUAAGCACCAAGGACCAGUUGCUGAGGACAAAGCGAAUGCAAUGAUCUGCAACAACGCAAGGAAAGUUCUCUGGGCAAUGACCGCACAGAUUUGGGUAACUAGCAAUCGUCGUCAGUGUUUCAACCUGACCUGACCCACUUAGCAAGCCGGUCCCUGGCUAAGACCUACAGCAGAGUUUCAAGUCAGUCAUUGGUGCAGACUCACACCCAAACCAGAAAUUCCUGCUGAAGACCAGAACCACAAAUGUUGUUGCUGCUGCUCCACACC
ensembl:lncRNA